UUUUGGGGGGAUUUUUGGGUCAUUUUUGGGGGCGUUUUGAGGUCGUUUUUGGGGAGAUUUCUGGGGGAUUUGGGGUGAAAUUGUUGGGAUUUUGGGGUGAAUUUUGGGGAUUUUGGGUCAUUUUAGGGUGAUUUUGGGAUUUUUGUGGGGUUUUGGGGUCGUUUCUGUGGGUUUUGGGGUCAUUUUUGGGGGGUUUUAGGGUCAUUUUUGCGGGGAUUUUGGGUCAUUUUUGGUUGAUGUUGGGUCAUUUCAGUUGGAUUUUGGGUCAAUUUGUUGGGAUUUUGGGUCAUUUUGGGGGGAUUUGGGGUCUUUUUUAUGGGAUUUUGGGUCACGUUUGCUUGAUUUUUGGGUCAUUUUGGGGGGAUUUUGGGUCAUUUUUGGUUGAUUUUGGGUCAUUUUGGGUGGAUUUUGGGUCUUUUUUAUGGGAUUUUAGGUCACUUUGGGGGAAUUUUGGGUCUUUAUGGGAUUUUGGGUCACGUUUGUUUGAUUUUGGGUCAUUUGGGGGGAUUUGGGUGGAUUUUGGGUCAUUUUUGGUUGGUUUUGGGUCAUUUUUGGUGGAUUUUGGGGGGGAUUUUGGGUCAUUUUUGGUUGAUUUUGGGAGGAUUUUGGGUCUUUUUAAUGGGAUUUUGGGUCAUUUUUAGUUGGUUUUGGGUCAUUUUGGGAGGAUUUUGGGUCCUUUUUAGGGGAUUUUGGGUCAUUUUUAUGGGAUUUUGGGUCAUUUUUGGUUGAUUUUCUGUCUUUUUGGGUGAGUUUUGGGUCAUUUUGGGGGGAUUUUGGGUCAUUUUGGGUGGAUUUUGGGUCAUUUUUGGUUGAUUUUGGGUCAUUUUGGGGGAAUUUUGAGUCGUUUGGGGUGGAUUUUGGGUCAUUUUUGGUUGGUUUUGGGUCAUUUUUGGUGGAUUUUGGGGGGAUUUUGGGUCUUUUUUAUGGGAUUUUGGGUCAUUUUAAGUGGUUUUGGGGUCAUUUCUGUUGGAUUUUGGGUGGAUUUUGGGUCAUUUUGUGGGGAUUUUGGGUCAUUUUGCGGGGAUUUUGGGUCAUUUUGGGUGGAUUUUGGGUCUUUUUAAUGGGAUUUUGGGUCAUUUUUAUGGGAUUUUGGGUCACUUUUGGUUGAUUUGGGGUCAUUUUUGGUGGAUUUUGGGUCAUUUUGGGGGGAUUUUGGGGUCAUUUUUGGUGGAUUUUGGGUCAUUUUGGGAGGAUUUUGCGUUUUUUAUGGGAUUUUGGAUCAUUUUUGGUUGAUUUUGGGUCAUUUUGGGUGGAUUUUGGGUCUUUUUUAUGGGAUUUUGGGUCACUUUGGGGGAAUUUUGGGUCUUUAUGGGAUUUUGGGUCACGUUUGUUUGAUUUUGGGUCAUUUGGGGGGAUUUGGGGGGAUUUUGGGUCAUUUUUGGUUGGUUUUGGGUCAUUUUUGGUAGAUUUUGGGUCAUUCUGGGGGUUUUGAUGGAUUUUGGGGAUUUUGGGGCCUUUUGUUGGGAUUUUUGGGGUCAUUUUAGGGGAUUUUGGGUCAUUUUUGGGUCUUUUUAGGGGAUUUUAGGUCAUUUUUGGGGGCGUUUUGAGGUCAUUUUUGGGGCGAUUUCUGGGGGCGUUGGGGUGAAAUUGUUGGGAUUUUGGGGCGAAUUUUGGGGAUUUUGGGUCAUUUUGGGGUGAUUUUAUGGAUUUUGGGGAUUUUUGGGGUCAUUUUAGGAGAUUUUGGGUCAUUUUUGGGGUCUUUUUAGGGGAUUUUUGGUCAUUUUUGGGGGGAUUUUAGGUCGUUUUUGGGGGCGUUUUGAGGUCAUUUUUGGGGAGAUUUCUGGGGGAUUUGGGGUGAAAUUGUUGGGAUUUUGGGGCGAAUUUUGGGGAUUUUGGGUCAUUUUGGGGUGCUUUUGGGAUUUUUGUGGGGUUUUGGGUCGUUUCUGUGGGUUUUGGGGUCAUUUUUGGGGGUUUUAAGGUCAUUUUUGCGGGGAUUAUGGGUCAUUUUGGGGGGAUUUUGGGUCCUUUUUAUAGGAUUUUGGGUCCUUUUUAUGGGAUUUUGGGUCAUUUUUGGUUGAUUUUGGGUCAUUUUUGGUUGAUUUUCUGUCAUUUUGGGUGAGUUUUGGGUCAUAUUUGUUUGAUUUUGGGUCAUUUUGGGGUGAUUUUGGGAUUUCUUUGUGGUUUUGGGGUCGUUUCUGUGGGUUUUGGGGUCAU